rnacentral:rRNA from 1 species
GACGAACGCUGGCGGCGUGCCUAAUACAUGCAAGUCGAGCGAGCUUGCCUAGAUGAAUUUGGUGCUUGCACCAAAUGAAACUAGAUACAAGCGAGCGGCGGACGGGUGAGUAACACGUGGGUAACCUGCCCAAGAGACUGGGAUAACACCUGGAAACAGAUGCUAAUACCGGAUAACAACACUAGACGCAUGUCUAGAGUUUAAAAGAUGGUUCUGCUAUCACUCUUGGAUGGACCUGCGGUGCAUUAGCUAGUUGGUAAGGUAACGGCUUACCAAGGCAAUGAUGCAUAGCCGAGUUGAGAGACUGAUCGGCCACAUUGGGACUGAGACACGGCCCAAACUCCUACGGGAGGCAGCAGUAGGGAAUCUUCCACAAUGGACGCAAGUCUGAUGGAGCAACGCCGCGUGAGUGAAGAAGGGUUUCGGCUCGUAAAGCUCUGUUGGUAGUGAAGAAAGAUAGAGGUAGUAACUGGCCUUUAUUUGACGGUAAUUACUUAGAAAGUCACGGCUAACUACGUGCCAGCAGCCGCGGUAAUACGUAGGUGGCAAGCGUUGUCCGGAUUUAUUGGGCGUAAAGCGAGUGCAGGCGGUUCAAUAAGUCUGAUGUGAAAGCCUUCGGCUCAACCGGAGAAUUGCAUCAGAAACUGUUGAACUUGAGUGCAGAAGAGGAGAGUGGAACUCCAUGUGUAGCGGUGGAAUGCGUAGAUAUAUGGAAGAACACCAGUGGCGAAGGCGGCUCUCUGGUCUGCAACUGACGCUGAGGCUCGAAAAGCUGGGUAGCGAACAGGAUAGAUACCCGGGUAGUCCAAGGCCGAAUUCCACUGUGGAUAUAAGCUUAUCGAUACCGUUGACCUCGAAUAGAAAACAAAUAACAAUUUUGUUUCCUUAG